UCUACAUAGAAUGGUGGAAUCGGCCUUGAUAGGACCAGAAGGCCAGUCACUGCACCAGCCUGGCACUGACAUUCUCUGGAACCUACGACCAGAAGGCCUGAGGCUUGGAGGCCAAAGAGCAAGACCAGCAUUUCAUCUUGGUCAGCUGCAGGGUCAACUGGAUGGCAGGGAUAAUGCGAUGUUUCCAAUCUGGGCAUACAGAGAAGGCCAACAGGGCACCUGGCUUAGGGUCGUCCAUCACCCUAAUUAGACGGGAAGAAGAAGGGAAGGAAUGUGAAUGAGGCCCAUUCGUCUCCACCCAUGUCAGGCUGUCCUUUGAGCCCCACACAUUCCAAGUGACAAUGGACACUUUUCUGUUACGGAAGACAAUCCCAGGCGCCACUAGGUCCAAAGGUAACAAAAGACGGUAUUUCCAGCUGCUGUUCCAGAAAUGGCAUUUAACCUAAGGAGAGCUCUGGCCGCAGCCAGAGCAGGUCAUCUUUCCUAAGUCAGGGUUAUAACUGUGCAGCCUCGGGAACCUGACUGUUCUAACGUGUGUGCAGGCACGCGUCAGGGCGGCGUGUCUAGAUGCUGCGGUCCCUGCUUCCUGCCAUCAUCAUUGCCUCUGUCACAGCACGCAGGGAACACAGGCUUUGACGGGCAAGGUAAUCCCAGGGGGUUUAGAACAGGAAAGAAAUAACUAGUACCUUCCAGUAACCAUCCCAUCCCCUUCAAUAAGAGGAAGGCAGCACUGGUGGUGCCGUCUUCCCACGCAGAGUCCCAAGAGCUAGAUGAACAUGCAGGAAAAUGAGCCUCUGCUUGCAGCGUUGGGGGAAGGAAAAGAGAGUCUAGAAGAUCACUUGGCCACCUCUCCUUGGGGGUUAUGAGUGAAUUGCAGGCUUCUGUCCUACCCUGGAAUAAACAGCUUCCUUUUU